UAUUUGCUGAUCAACAAGAAGAGGUAUGCUGGUUUGGUGUGGACUAAUCCUCAAAAGUUUGACAAAAUGGACACCAAGGGAAUCGAGACAGUACGAAGGGAUAAUUGUUUACUGGUUAAGAACCUUGUCACUGAGAGUCUUAACAAAAUACUAAUCGAUAGAGAUGUUCAAGGCGCAGCUGAGUAUGUUAAAAAUACAAUUGCGGAUCUUCUCAUGAACCGUAUCGACUUAUCACUUUUGGUGAUUACUAAGGUACAUUAAUAUGUUUUGCUUGGUAUGGCAUUCCUUUAACAUUGAUAUGUUUUCGCUUUAUCUGGAACCAAGAAACAUAUGAGAUUAUUUAAAAUUAUGUUUCCCCCGAUUAUUAACUUUUAGGCUACUGGACAGGAAGCUCAAAUUAGUGUGCUUUGAUUCAUUAGAAGUCUUUAGAUCUGAUUGUAAAGCAUUCAUUUUUAGCAGUCUUUUGGAAUCGACCUAUAUGCUACUGAUGCGUUUCUCAAAUCAUAGGGUCUAACUAAAACAGGAGAUGAUUAUGAAGUUAAAUCAGCUCAUGGUGAGCUUGCUGAACGCAUGCGUAAGGUUUGUGUUACUCUUUAUCACUUUUUGUUUAUCUAUGAUUUGCAAUUAUUUAGCGUUUCUUAAUCUACAUGUUAACAUAACUCUUGACUAGCUUUUAACAUAAGUCUUGACUAGUUUCCAUUCAUCAUCAAAAUAUAUGAAUAAGACGUCUGUAGGGGAAAUUUCAUUCCUUUACUUUCUCUAGUUUCAGCAUCACAUUGACAUACACCCUCAAACUGAAAAAUGAAAAAUGCUAAAGUUUGAUUUUGUUUUUGGCUUUUAAAAUACCUAUCUGAUUCUUUAAGUGUCAUCUAGUAGGUGCACAAGUGCAGGGAUAUUUUUCCUUCAUUCACGUUUUUGUGAAUAUAUGAUAUUAUUCUGUUUUACAGAGUCUGAUGAUCUAUCAUGUGAAAUUUGACAACUAGAGAUGUUUGCUUUUUCAUGUGUGACAGAGGGAUGCUGCUACAGCGCCAAAUGUUGGCGACCGGGUACCAUAUGUUAUUAUUACAGCAGCCAAAGGUGCCAAGGUAGCUUUCAUAUCAACCUUACUUUAUAUUUUCCCAAGAUGUGGAGAUCAUUUCUAUUCUACCUACUUAUCUCAUUUUGAUGCCAAAUAGGGUUAUGAAAAGUCAGAAGAUCCGAUCUACGUACUUGAGAAUAACAUCCCUAUAGACCCAAAGUACUACCUAGAGAAUCAGAUUAGCAAGGUAAGUUAGAAAUGGGGAUUGCCUAUAAGUUUCUUUAUCUACUCUUUUAUUCUGGUGCGUGGAGGUUAAAGCAGAUGUUGUUUUCAGCCGCUUCUUAGGAUUUUUGACCCGGUCUUAAAAAACGCUAGCAGUGAACUUCUCCAUGGAGAUCACAUGAGGUCAAUAUCAAUUACUACUCCUUCGAACAGCGGCAUAAUGAGAUUUGCCAAGAAACAACUGAGCUGUGUUGGCUGCAAAGUGCCGAUCAGGUACUUUAUGGUUAAUAUCCUACGUAAAUUUUCAGGAAUAUUAGGAUCCUGCAAGUUCUACUUGAUUCUGUGUUUUCAAAGUUCCUUAUCAUUUACUUCCUUUGUCCCUUUAGUCUCUAGCUUAUCUGAUUGUAUAUGUGGGAUCUUCUUAUCGAGUUUUUUUGCUUUUAACUUCAACCAGCACUGGAACAUUGUGUGCACGUUGCAAGGGAAGAGAAGCCGAGUUAUACUGCAAAAACGUAUCACAGGGUAAGCUACAUAUUCCUCUUUUUCUGAACAAACUUCUAGAUCCGUCACUAAUGUUCUUCUGAAAACAACAUUCUCAUUGCUUUUCUAGAUAGCCAAUCUUGUAACCCUUCAGGGAGAGGAUCAACCAUUUAUACGCAAUGUCAUGACUCUUAACUCAUGUGCUCCAAUCGUAGGCGUAGAUGUUAUGUCUUUUGAAACAGAAAGAAAGGUCUUACUAGCUUGGAAGGUAAUUCGUUUUACCUCUUUCAUUACCAUCUUUCUCUUACAGUUUACCCUUUCUAUAAUAUAAAAUUUCCGGAAGGACUCGGUAAAGGAUUUAAUUAACUUUUUGUUGGCACUGGAAUUUUGUGGUGGGUUUGGUGAAGCAUUUAUUCUGCUGAUGGGUAAGAUGUAUUGGUUGCAGGAUUUUGUUCGUGAUGUUGAUCCUGAUAUCAUCAUUGGCUAUAACAUCUGCAAAUUCGAUUUACCUUAUCUGAUUGAGGUACUUGAACAUUGACCUCUGUUUUUUUUAUUUUCGGAUCAUCUGGUUAAAAGAAGCAUGCUGUUACAUUUCUUGAGCAUUCUAUGUAUUAUGUUGAUAUGUUCUACUGCGCUGAAUGGUACAUGAAUAUCACGAAUCUUUACCUGGAAAAUAUGCUGUUUUCUGAUUCUCAGAGAGCUGCAGCACUGGGAAUCGAGGAAUUUCCUCUUCUUGGUCGUGUAAAGAACAGUAGGGUCCGGAUGAGGGACUCAACGUUUUCAUCAAGGUAAUGUAGGAGUAACUGGUUCUUGCAAACUGCCAUCAUUUUCCCUGCUUCAUCCCUUUCGUGGCUCAUGAGUUCUCUACACUCAAUUCGCUUAAUAUAUUACUUCCCAUAGUAACACGUACCAUGUUUCAGACAACAAGGAACAAGGGAAAGUAAAGAGACCACAAUUGAAGGACGAUUUCAGUUUGACCUUUUUCAGGUUCCUGUCCCGGGCAUAUUAUUUUUGUUGAUCCCUUCUUAGAUUUCUUACUUGUAAUUCCUUGCAAAGACAUCAACUUACCUCUUCUUUCAUUUGUUGCAGGCUAUUCACAGAGACCACAAAUUAAGUUCCUAUUCGCUGAAUUCUGUCUCAGCUCACUUUCUAUCCGAGCAGGUGAAAUGAGUAAUCACGCUUAGACUUUUAGAUUAUUUCCCUUUUGCUGUGUGGCUAACAUGAUCGUCUUCUACAGAAAGAGGAUGUCCAUCAUUCUAUAAUAACCGAUCUUCAGAAUGGGAAUGCGGAAACCAGGAGGCGUCUUGCUGUUUAUUGUUUGAAGGUACCUACUUUUGUUUAUUCUGGAGUAUUGUUGCAUUGCCUGCUGUUAGACAUAUAAAAGAGUUUCUAAGUAGUUUUCAGGCUUGUCUUAUUAGCUUAAGAUCCUAUUGCAUGUUGUCACAAGAUUUUUCCUUUUUGUUUUAGGGAUCAUUUUGUUAAUUGCAGAAACUAGGUGGUCUCAUUAUUUAUGGUCUCAGUUAUUUUUUCUCUGUUAAUAGUCAACCACUUGAAUCUUAUGAAAAUGUAAAAACUUAACUACGAUCUUCUUUGCUGUUACAGGAUGCAUAUCUCCCUCAGCGGCUUCUCGACAAACUGAUGUGUAUAUAUAAUUAUGUCGAAAUGGCUCGUGUGACUGGUGUUCCUAUUUCUUUUCUUCUUGCUAGAGGACAGAGUAUCAAGGUAGGUCUCAACUGACACUUGGAUUAAAUAUCAGUUGAGUAUGGUGACUGAUAUUUUGGUGACUGAUAUUUUGUAUCGCAACAUUUUGUUUCUAGGUUCUAUCUCAGCUUCUUAGGAAAGCUAAACAGAAGAACAUGGUUCUUCCGAAUGCUAAACAGUCAGGGUCUGAACAAGGAACUUUUGAAGGCGCAACUGUAAGUUGGUUUACGGGUGUAACAUUUACUUUCUUCCUCUCGUUUGUAUUAGUUUCUAUAUUUUGAGAAAGCACAUGGCAGUGAUCUGUUUCUGGAUGUUUAAAAUGAUAACCAGGUUCUAGAAGCAAGAACAGGUUUCUAUGAAAAGCCAAUUGCAACUCUGGAUUUUGCUUCAUUGUACCCGUCAAUUAUGAUGGCAUAUAAUUUGUGCUACUGCACCUUGGUAAUUCUUUUAGGCAUUUUCUUUUUAAGUUUUAUUUAUUUUAUCAUCGUUUGUUCAUACAUCUUACUAAUUUGCGAUCAUUAUUUCCCAUAUUCUUAUCUUUGUAGGUGACACCUGAAGAUGUGCGCAAACUGAAUCUUCCACCUGAGCAUAUCAAUAAAACUCCAUCAGGGGAAACAUUUGUUAAGCAAAGUUUACAAAAGGUUGCCACUUUUUGAAUUGAUUAUUCUCAAAUUCUGGUGGGUACUUUCUUCAGGAAAAACAUCAGUUUACAAGCAAAACGAAUAAUUUAUUUCAGGGUAUACUUCCAGAGAUUCUUGAAGAGCUCAUUACAGCCCGUAAAAGAGCUAAAGCAGAUUUAAAGGUAACUUGUGAUUCUGAAGAAACUCGUGUCAUAUGUGCAUACUUAUAUGCAGUUUUUAACCAUUACUAGCAAAACUGGUAUUGUCUAAUAGGAGGCUAAGGAUCCGCUUGAGAAGGCUGUUUUAGAUGGUAGACAAUUGGCAUUAAAGGUAAACUUCUUACUGCCAGUUUAUUUAUAUUGCCCAUUCAGGAAAAUUGAUUAAUAUUUUCGGAAAUUAUAAAAAAUAUUUCCCUAUAAUUUAUCCUUUUCUGUUGUUGUCUCAGAUCAGUGCAAAUUCUGUCUACGGGUUUACAGGAGCCACUGUUGGGCAGUUACCUUGCUUAGAAAUAUCAUCAAGCGUGACUAGCUAUGGUAUUUCUUUUGUGAACGCUACAAAUUGCGUAGACACGUACUUUUCUAUGAUUAAUCUGAUGAAUGUCUAUCUUUUUGAAGGUCGUCAGAUGAUUGAACAAACAAAGAAAUUCGUGGAAGAUAAAUUCACAACAUUGGGAGGGUAUGAAUACAAUGCAGAGGUACAUUUUCAAUUGAUUAAAUCGUGUUAUUGAAAAGUCUGACUGAAGCAUAAACUUGGUCUUAGAUUUUUUUUGAAUUUGAUGGACAAAUCAUGUAUUAGGUCAUUUAUGGAGACACGGAUUCAGUCAUGGUGCAAUUUGGCGUACCGGAUGUAGAAGCUGCGAUGACCUUGGGGAAGGAAGCUGCAGAAUAUAUUAGUGGAACUUUUAUCAAAGUGAGUGAUUGGUUUUGCUAGGAGCAUAUUGUAAACUUCUCUUUAAUCCAUGGGAGGUCUGGAAGAUUACAUGAUAUUUUGAAUGCAAAUUCUAACAGGCUAAUCGUUUUUCGUUUCUUGAUUUUGUAUGAUGUCGUAAAGCCUAUCAAAUUGGAGUUUGAGAAGGUUUAUUUUCCAUAUUUGCUGAUCAACAAGAAGAGGUAUGCUGGUUUGGUGUGGACUAAUCCUCAAAAGUUUGACAAAAUGGACACCAAGGGAAUCGAGACAGUACGAAGGGAUAAUUGUUUACUGGUUAAGAACCUUGUCACUGAGAGUCUUAACAAAAUACUAAUCGAUAGAGAUGUUCAAGGCGCAGCUGAGUAUGUUAAAAAUACAAUUGCGGAUCUUCUCAUGAACCGUAUCGACUUAUCACUUUUGGUGAUUACUAAGGUACAUUAAUAUGUUUUGCUUGGUA
rnacentral:lncRNA from 1 species